AUUGAACGCUGGCGGCAUGCCUAACACAUGCAAGUCGAACGGCAGCACAGAGGAGCUUGCUCCUUGGGUGGCGAGUGGCGGACGGGUGAGUAAUGCAUCGGGACCUACCCAGGACGUGGGGGAUAACCUCGGGAAACCGGGACUAAUACCGCAUACGUCCUACGGGAGAAAGCGGGGGACCUUCGGGCCUCGCGCGGUUGGACGGACCGAUGUGCGAUUAGCUAGUUGGUAGGGUAAUGGCCUACCAAGGCGACGAUCGCUAGCUGGUCUGAGAGGAUGAUCAGCCACACUGGGACUGAGACACGGCCCAGACUCCUACGGGAGGCAGCAGUGGGGAAUAUUGGACAAUGGGCGCAAGCCUGAUCCAGCAAUGCCGCGUGUGUGAAGAAGGCCUUCGGGUUGUAAAGCACUUUUAUCAGGAGCGAAAUACCACGGGUUAAUACCUUGUGGGGCUGACGGUACCUGAGGAAUAAGCACCGGCUAACUUCGUG
rnacentral:rRNA from 1 species